rnacentral:rRNA from 1 species
CCUACGGGUGGCAGCAGUAGGGAAUCUUUCACAAUGGGCGAAAGCCUGAUGGAGCAACGCCGCGUGCAGGAUGAAGGCCUUCGGGUUGUAAACUGCUUUUAUAAGCGAGAAAUAUGAUGGUAACUUAUGAAUAAGGAUCGGCUAACUACGUGCCAGCAGCCGCGGUCAUACGUAGGAUCCGAGCAUUAUCCGGAGUGACUGGGUGUAAAGAGUUGGGUAGUGGGGAUGAUAAGUAGCUAGUGAAAUCUGGUGGCGCAACCAUUCAGACUAUUAGCUAAACUGUUAAGCUCGAGACCGUUAGGGGUAAGUGGAAAUUCUAGUGUAGGAGUGAAAUCCGGAGAUAUUAGAAGGAAAAACGAUAGCGUAGGCAGGUUACUGGGACGGUUCUGACACUAAGGCACGAAAGCGGAGGGAGCAAACGGGAUUAGAUAACCUUGUAGUC